UACGGAGGAUCCGAGCGUUAUCCGGAUUUAUUGGGUUUAAAGGGAGCGUAGGUGGAUUGUUAAGUCAGUUGUGAAAGUUUGCGGCUCAACCGUAAAAUUGCAGUUGAAACUGGCAGUCUUGAGUACAGUAGAGGUGGGCGGAAUUCGUGGUGUAGCGGUGAAAUGCUUAGAUAUCACGAAGAACCCCGAUUGCGAAGGCAGCCUGCCGCAGCGUUACUGACGCUGAAGCUCGAAAGCGCGGGUAUCGAACAGG
rnacentral:rRNA from 1 species